rnacentral:tRNA from 1 species
GCCUCGAUAGCUCAGUAGGUAGAGCGUUUGCUUGGUAAGCAAAAGGUCGCGAGUUCGAUCCUCGCUCGAGGCU